UGGGGAAUAUUGCACAAUGGGCGCAAGCCUGAUGCAGCCAUGCCGCGUGUAUGAAGAAGGCCUUCGGGUUGUAAAGUACUUUCAGUCGGGAGGAAGGUGGUAAGGUUAAUAACCUUAUCAAUUGACGUUACCGACAGAAGAAGCACCGGCUAACUCCGUGCCAGCAGCCGCGGUAAUACGGAGGGUGCAAGCGUUAAUCGGAAUUACUGGGCGUAAAGCGCACGCAGGCGGUUGAUUGAGUCAGAUGUGAAAUCCCCGGGCUUAACCCGGGAAUUGCAUCUGAUACUGGUCAGCUAGAGUCUUGUAGAGGGGGGUAGAAUUCCAUGUGUAGCGGUGAAAUGCGUAGAGAUGUGGAGGAAUACCGGUGGCGAAGGCGGCCCCCUGGACAAAGACUGACGCUCAGGUGCGAAAGGGUGGGGAGCAAACAGG
rnacentral:rRNA from 1 species